rnacentral:lncRNA from 1 species
UUUUUAUGAAGUCUCCCGCUCAGGCUCUCCAAGAACAGGGAGAAGUUAAAGGCUUGAGUUGGGAAACCAGUUCUCCCACUUCAUUAAUAAUGAUGUCGAUGUUCCUGGCAGUGUUUAUACCAAAUGCUACUUUGACCUUUGCGCCUUGGCACACGACAGUAGCCUAUAUUUGCCAUUUUGUCUUCUUGACAUAGAAAGAGCAUGGGAACUGAAGGUUGUUUCAAGGUUGGAAGACAAAGACUUCUAUGGUACUGCCAACAAAAGGAAAAGGUCUUUGAGUUCUGAUGAUUUAAUUGAUCUUCAGUGCCUUAAGGCCAUCCUCUCCUGAAGGAAGAAGUGAGGGGUUAUAUAACAUCUGAACCCCUCAUCAAAAAAGACAGGAAAAUAUCACCUUUCCUGCUGAAGAACUAGAAAAGUACUUUCAAAAGAAGAAACACCUACAAUUCAAGUUAACUCAAGGACAACUAGGAUUGCACUUCAUAGAAAAGAAUGGGACCUUGUCAAUGCAACAACACACUCUUACACUCUUCUGUCCCUUUUAAUGUAAAGAGAGUUAUAAAAACCACUCCAAAGUGAAGGCUCCUAUGUGAGCUGAUAGCAGUGAACUAUGUAAGGGUUUAAAACAAUGGUUUAAAUUUUUAGAUUUUAAAGAUAACUUUUCUGUUUCUUUUAUAUUUUUCUUUCCCCCAAUAUUGCUGCAUAUGCAUUUAGCAUCAUAUUACCAUUAAAACAUAGGACUCUUAACAACUCAUAAAGCCACUAGGAGCAGAUGCAGCAUUGUCAGGUACUGAAGGGGCUCUUCCUUCCUACUCUUAGAAUCGAAGCUACUAGUUACUGGCAAUCAUUUUAAGCAAAAGCUUCUGGAUAACAUUUGCCAUUCAUAUCCUCUGUAAGCACUUCUUAUUAGCAGUUAGCAUGUUUGGGGUCAUAAAAAGAGAAAAUAUUGGUUAUUGAUUAUCUACUUUUAUUAGGGUCUGUGGUGUAUUUCUUGUGAACUAUAAUGGUUCUCAUUUGCUGAUAAAUUUUCUUAUUUUUUAAAUAAAGGUAUUAAAAGAUGUUUUCAUAGUGCCAAGCAACAUGGUGAUCCAGUGGUAAUAAAAAAUGAUAAAACAUGAGGUGUCCUGAAAGUUUCAGGACAGUUUUUAGCUUUAACAUAGUAUGCUUGUGCCCUCCAGAGCACUGAAGCAUACAUAUGCAGGCUAUAAACCUUUACAAAAUAUAAUUUGAAAUUUUAAUUGUAUUUCUUCUUUUUUUUUUUAAAUAGAUGUUGUCUCAGUAUGUUACCCAAUGUACAGUGCAAUGAUUAUUCAGAGGCACAGUCAUAGCAUACCACAGCCUGGAAAUCCUGGCCUCAAGCAAUCCUCCCAUGUCAGCCUACCAAGCAGCUGGGACUAUAGGUGUGUACCACCACCUCUGGCUUCAUUUUGCAGAAUUUGAAUAUUAAGCAUUUAACUUUUUGUCUCAUCAAUAUCUGCUAUCGUCAAGAAGGACUGAAACAAAAAAUUAAAGGUUAAUAUUCAGGAGCUAGGCAUGCCUGUAGUCCCAGCUACUCAUAAGGCUUAAAUGGCAGGAUCACUUGAGGCCUAGCAUUGGAGGCUGCAGUGCGCUGUGAUUGUGCCUGGAAAUAGCCAUUGCACUCCAGCCUUGGCAACAUACUGAGACCCUGUCACUCUAAAAAAUGGCAAAACUAAAUAAAGGUAAAAGAAAUAUAACAAACCUUUCAGUGAUGCUUUGUAAAUAUUUGUAGCAUUGAUACUUCUACAAGUAUCAAAGCUUAAAAUUACACUAAGCCUUUUGGAAUUGUUGUAUUUUUAUAAAGUGCCCUUUUCUCUUUUGAAGUAGUUCUUUGCAGGGCUUUCAUCUGCAUUGAUCACCCAAAAUUAUUUUCUCUAGAUGUGAUACAGAAUAGGAUCAGUUUUAAUGCACAUGUAACAAAUUUGAAGGAACUGGACCUUAAUAGUAGUAGAUGAUCUAAUACAUUUUAUUAUCCCGCAUGUUAACCUGGAGGCAGGUAUCAUAUUUUAUGUCCAUAAACCUUAGGAACCUUACCUCCUAAAAAAAUUAUCAUUUAUGGAGUGCAGAGCUUAGAGAUUGAAGUAUUGACUGCAGUUUUAUUUUCAAAAGGUAAAUGCUACAAUUUAUGUGGUUUUUAUUUCUCAUGUUUACAUUAAAAGAAAACCUAAUAAACUUUUAAUUAAAAUGUGACUAGUGGGCCGAGCACAGUGGCUCACACCUGUAAUCCUAGCACUUUGGGAGGCCAAGGCAGGUAGUUCAGAAGGUCGGGAGUUCAAGACCAGCCUGGUCAACGUGGUGAAACCUCAUCUCUACUAAAAAUACAGAAAUUAGCUGGGUGUGGUGGCACACACCUGUAAUCCCAGCUACUUUGGAGGCUGAGGCAGGAGAAUUGCUUGAACCUGAGGGGCGGAGGUUGCAGUGAGCCAAGAUCGCGCCACUGCACUCCAGCCUGGGCGACAGAGUGAGACUCUGUCUCAAAAAAAAAAAAAAUUGUGACUAGUAUGUUUUUAACUCUUCUAUUCACAUAGUGUUACAUCUCUGCGUAACUUAAAUGAUUCAAGUCAGUCUUGAUAUGUCUUAAAGCAUUUUUAUAAGUUGCCUGGACUAUUCACAAAUUGGUUUAAUCCAUGCCUCUAUGUAAGACAUAAUAUUUGUUUUUUCUGGCUUAAGCUCUUUUCAAUUUUAAGAUAAUUUAUUACACUUAAAAUCACUCUCUGGCCACAAUACUUAGUGGCAUAGCGUAUUAGAUGGCAUCUUUGAAUAGUUGGUUAUUGUGUCUGAGAGGAAAAAGCAUGUUAGAAUAUAAAAUUAGGUCAAUACACCAAAGAGAAAGGAUUCCCAGGAAUAGUGUAGAAUUAGAACAAGGGUGUUUGAGGUUUUCAAACAGUUACACAGAAAAAAAGUGGAAGUACAGAAAGUAGAAUUAAAGUUGUUGUACAGAGGGUGGCUCAGACCACAUAAUUUGACUUUAGCACACUGCUUUCAAGCUUACCUUUUAGUUAAAAAUAUAUCAAAUCACUGUUAGUUUUUUUUUUUUAGAACUAAGAGUCUAGCCACUUAGCUUCAGUGAUUCUCACUAAAUCCUAAUAAUAUUGGUAUAUUUUCAUCUACUUUAAUUCUUUAGUACCUAAGGUAAAAUCUUUAAAUAACUCAUCACCUCAUCUUGAUAAACUGCAGACUAGAAUCAGUGAUCUGAUUUAGAAGAAAAAGUCUAUCAUGAAUCCCUGUUUAUAAGAUGCUUUGCACCAUGUAAUAUGCAAUAACUAAGUAGAGAUCCUGACAUACAUGAGUGGUCAAAGGUUUAAAAAACUAGUUUGGGAGAGGGGCACUGGACAUAAAUCCAUGACUUCAAGAGUAAGUCAGGGCCAGGUGUGGUGGCUCAUGCCUGUAAUGCCAGCACUUUGGGAGGGUGAGGUGGGCAGAUUACUUGAGUCCAGCAGUUCAACACCAGCCUGGCCAAGGUAGCAAAACCCCAUCUCUACUAAAAAUACAAAAAUUAGCCAAGCUUGGUGGCAUCUGCCGAUGUUCCUAGCUCCUUGGGAGGCUGAUUCAUGAAAGUCGCUUGAGCCUGGGAGGCAGACGUUGCAGUGAGCAGUGAGCAUGCCUGCGCUCCACCCUGGGUGACAGAGCGAGACCUUGUCUCACACACACACACAAAAGAGUAAGUCAGUAGAAUAAGGACCACUAACAUUGCUCUCCCCUUUGGCUUGAAUUCUAGAAGGCAAUACAGUCAUUUUGAUACAUGGAAAAUUGGGUCAAUUUAGAAUAAGAAUAUAAACGUGACUGAAAGUGGGCAGGUUCUCUGACAAAUGUUUGGGGUAUGGAAACUAAGUUUCUAGUAGGGUGGUAACUAUGGCAGUUUUCUUAGAGUUUGAUAUCUGGGAAAGAUUUGUUGUCUAACACAAGACUAUGAAAAAGAUUAUCUGACUACCAAAGCUCAAAUUUACUUUCAUUUUUAGGGUUAUUUCCACUUUUGUAAUACAGACACCAGUGAAAUUUUUAACUCUGGUAUUGUGUGAACUAAAACUUUUACCUCUUCAUUACAAGGAAAAGACAAUAGAUCACUACCCAUCAAUACAAAAGAACAAGCUACUAAAACAUGGAUGACCUGGACCUGUGACGGACUAAAUGGCACUGUGUUUGACUCGUGGAUCUGACACAAACUAAGUGGGUCUGGAUAAUUCAUGGACACUCUGAGGUCCAAUCUCUUAAUGGUUUCAAAUGAGUCACAAGUAGAUGACCAUAAACACCUUUCGUGAACCAUCACGGUGGAAUUCUGUGAGGUUAAGAUAUCAAGACUAGCGUGACUAGUGUCACGUGGUUAUGGACAGGUGUGAGAGCAGUGCAGUGUCUUUCAAGAGUGGGAGUUGUUUAGAGAUGGAGGAAACAGGAUUUCCACCCUCUGCCUGCUUACCUCUUACCCCUAGACCUCCCCACAAGCUCUCCUUUGAAGUGGCCUCCUGUCUCCCCUUGGUCUUCUCAAAGCUGGUCCAGGCAUUCCACUGUCACAGACUCUAGUGGUUUCUGGAGAUAAUGACAUCACCAGAUCCAGCUCAUUCUGGCGGGUGGAUCAAGCACUGUUUCUGGCUAUGCUCCGUCCUGUCUGGGCUUUUCUGCCUCUGCUGGGAAGCUCUGGAGAGUGGUAAGGUCAGAGGGGUGUUCUCUUUCUAGGAAAGAUUCCUGUUCCCAGUGGCCCCCUGCUUCCUAAUUCACAAGAGCUGCUUUGCUCUACAGUGAAAUUAUUUCUUGGGAGCUGGGACCAGGGCCUGGGAAACAAAUUUUAGGGACACAAACCUGGCCCUCUGGAAUUCAAUACAUUGGACUGAAAACAUAGACAGCUUGGUAGUGCCAGAGUGGCUAGGCGCCUUCGUGUGACCCAACGGAUCUGACCAGACACUACCAGAAAGCCUAAAAUAUAUCUGACACAAGGUAAGGUUCUACCCACAUUCACUUCCCAUUAUUUCCCUGUGUAUUUUGGGUCAUGUCACUUUGCUCAGUGCUGUAAAGACCGCAGGGCUGGUUUUAGGCAGGUGUGAUAUUCGACAGCACCUGAGACCGGAAAUAAAUCACACCUGCCCUUGAACCUAAAUUUCCUCACUGCUAGCUUGUGACGUGGGCGCACUGUUCCUCCAACCUGAACCUCGGUUGUUAUUUUUAAUGCAGACGGUUAUGCCGGCCUCAUAGAGUACUUGUGAGGUUUAGGUGAGUCAUCCAAUGAAAAGAACAAAGUGUCUUCUAAAUACAAUAGCAGCUGUCACUUACUCAGGGUUUAGUAACUGCACUUGGCUGUUUGCUUUACAGCCAAGUGUAUGAUUUACCUAAGUUUCAAAACAACGCCAUGAAGCAGGCAUUAACACCCUCAUUUUCAGCUCGGGGUCUUGCCACAGACACAGCGCCCACGAGUUCUGGCACUUUGGUCAACGUUUAUAAACGGGCUCUCCUCUGCCGCCGCGGGCAUGCGCUUUCCCCAAGGUUCGCACUGAACACCUGUUCCUAAAGGGGGCGCAGCUCCACCUGCGUCCCCGGGACCUCUAGCGUGAGGGGGUCGAUCCUGGGGUCCCCCCGGGCUUCCCGUUCUCACCCUCUGAAUCACAAGCCCCAUUCUCACUAGAAGUUGACAGGCUGUGGGGAGACCUGGUUUCCCCGCGUCCCACUUCAGGUGAGCACCUUCCCCGCCCGCGACACCCAAGGGCCCCGGGACCACCUCUCAGCCUUAGCUAGGCGUGAAGCAGCGAGCUAAGCUUGCACAUGCGCAGACGUCAUCCAGAAGACCCUUUCCUAGAGUGUGGCGCGCGAGCCAUUCGGAUUUAAGACUACGUUUCCCAGAAACCUCCACGCCACGACUUACUUCGCAGCGUUUUCUCUAUUGGAUGAUUGGAAGAUGUUCCUGACUGCCUCGCCUGGCCAGGUUCUGCCAGAGCCCCUAGAGGUUAUGGGUUAAAUUUGAACUUUGCUGCCGAAUACGGUGCGUGGUCCUCCAUCAAAUCCCGAUUGGAAAAAACAGCUGCCAAACACGUUGGAAA